rnacentral:rRNA from 1 species
UGACGAGUUUGAUCCUGGCUCAGGAUGAACGCUAGCGGCAGGCUUAACACAUGCAAGUCGAGGGGUAUAGUUCUUCGGAAUUAGAGACCGGCGCACGGGUGCGUAACGCGUAUGCAAUCUACCUUUUGCAGAGGGAUAGCCCAGAGAAAUUUGGAUUAAUACCUCAUAGUAUAGUGAUACCGCAUGGUACUGCUAUUAAAGUCACAACGGCAAAAGAUGAGCAUGCGUCCCAUUAGCUAGUUGGUAAGGUAACGGC